rnacentral:rRNA from 1 species
UACGUAGGGUGCAAGCGUUAAUCGGAAUUACUGGGCGUAAAGCGUGCGCAGGCGGUUUUGCAAGACAGAUGUGAAAUCCCCGGGCUUAACCUGGGAACUGCAUUUGUGACUGGCGGGCUAGAGUAUGGCAGAGGGGGGUAGAAUUCCGCGUGUAGCAGUGAAAUGCGUAGAGAUGUGGAGGAAUACCGAUGGCGAAGGCAGCCCCCUGGGCCAAUACUGACGCUCAUGCACGAAAGCGUGGGGAGCAAACAGG